rnacentral:rRNA from 1 species
UUGCACAUGGUGGAUGAGUGGCGAACGGGUGAGUAACACGUGAGUAACCUGCCCCCGACUUCGGGAUAAGCCCGGGAAACUGGGUCUAAUACCGGAUAUGACCAUCGCUCGCAUGAGUGAUGGUGGAAAGUUUUUUCGGUUGGGGAUGGGCUCGCGGCCUAUCAGUUAGUUGGUGAGGUAAUGGCUCACCAAGACGACGACGGGUAGCCGGCCUGAGAGGGCGACCGGCCACACUGGGACUGAGACACGGCCCAGACUCCUACGGGAGGCAGCAGUGGGGAAUAUUGCACAAUGGGGGAAACCCUGAUGCAGCGACGCAGCGUGCGGGAUGACGGCCUUCGGGUUGUAAACCGCUUUCAGCAGGGAAGAAGCCUUUAUCGGUGACGGUACCUGCAGAAGAAGUACCGGCUAACUACGUGCCAGCAGCCGCGGUAAUACGUAGGGUACGAGCGUUGUCCGGAAUUAUUGGGCGUAAAGAGCUCGUAGGUGGUUGGUCACGUCUGCUGUGGAAACGCAACGCUUAACGUUGCGCGUGCAGUGGGUACGGGCUGACUAGAGUGCAGUAGGGGAGUCUGGAAUUCCUGGUGUAGCGGUGAAAUGCGCAGAUAUCAGGAGGAACACCGGUGGCGAAGGCGGGACUCUGGGCUGUAACUGACACUGAGGAGCGAAAGCAUGGGGAGCGAACAGGAUUAGAUACCCUGGUAGUCCAUGCCGUAAACGUUGGGCACUAGGUGUGGGGGACAUUCCACGUUCUCCGCGCCGUAGCUAACGCAUUAAGUGCCCCGCCUGGGGAGUACGGUCGCAAGGCUAAAACUCAAAGGAAUUGACGGGGGCCCGCACAAGCGGCGGAGCAUGCGGAUUAAUUCGAUGCAACGCGAAGAACCUUACCA